AAUUGGAUUCUCUUCCUGAUGAUAUUUUUAAUGGGAUGUCUCUACGAAAUUUGUUUUUGAACAAUAAUAGAUUUAGAAAUCUUACUGGAAGACCAUUCAGGGGAAUGAAGACAUCAAGCACUCUUGAUCUAUAUCUUUUCUCAAACCAUAUCGGACACAUUGAAGACAACGUCUUCAAAGAUUUAGGAAACAAAACAACAAUUGCGUUGAGAUGCAGAAGUCUCGUAAAUAUUCCACUAGUCGAAAAGUCUUCACUUGGACAAAU